rnacentral:rRNA from 1 species
CCUACGGGGGGCAGCAGUAGGGAAUCUUCCACAAUGGGCGAAAGCCUGAUGGAGCAAUGCCGCGUGAGUGAAGAAGGUUUUCGGAUCGUAAAACUCUGUUGUUGAAGAAGAACAUGCGUGAGAGUAACUGUUCACGUACUGACGGUAUUCAACCAGAAAGCCACGGCUAACUACGUGCCAGCAGCCGCGGUAAUACGUAGGUGGCAAGCGUUGUCCGGAUUUAUUGGGCGUAAAGAGAAUGUAGGCGGUUUAUUAAGUUU